CCCGGACAAAUUCCGGGCGGCGGUAGUACGCAAGAAUUAAGCUUGCGGAUCGGCUAGUGAAUACUACUACAG
rnacentral:ncRNA from 1 species